UGUGUGUGUGUGUGUACAUGUGAGUUCAGGGGCACAUGGAAGCCAGAAGGAGGUGUGAGAAGCUCCACAUUGGUCCUCUCCAAGAGCAGGAGAUGCUGUUUACCACUAAGCCAUCUCUCUGUCCCCAGGAAGUGACAAUCUUCAGGCAGUUUGUCUGCAUUUUAUACUUUCUAUUUAAUUAUAAUAUUAAAAUUUUGAAGCACACACUGAGAAAUCUAAAGGUGGUUUAUUCCUUUCCCAUUUUUUUAAAGAGAGUCAAAUAAUGGUUCAUUUCCUCAGAGGAGGUCAGGUGAAAUACAAGGGCUUAUUGUCACUCAAGAGAUUCUUCCCAAGAAAAGUCACAUUAAGAAAGGAAAGGAGAGAGACAUGUAGGUCAAAACAGAGAUAAUGAAGUCAAGCAAAGAUAAAUGUGACUUAAAUAGGCAUUUAAUGUGGCUGAAUCAUAUUUAACCAUGUGUUCUGGACAUAUACCCAAAGGGUGAGUCCGGUGGUAUAUCACCUUAGGUCUAAGGGGAGGAAGGAGCAUUCUGAUUGAGAAGUGUUCAUCACUUUUCUUCUGGGACUAAGGCCUUUCCCAUAAUGAUGGUUUAAUUCAAUCUCGUCAAUUACCUCUUCUCAGAGAGCUGCAGGUUGUGCCACCUUGCUGGAAAUGGUCAAAUCCCAUUAAACUUCUGUUCUUUGUAGCAGAGGGAAAAGGAAAGAUCCAGCGAUUCAAUUAAGACAUAAAUGACCAGGUGUCUGUGGCACAGAAUCAGCUUUUCUGGUCUGACCAAGAAAACCCAAUUUCCAUCUUGGCUAGGAAGCUAUGUGAGCCCUCACUCACCUUUGCUGUUAGCUUCCUGGCCAUGGUUAAAGGCUCAGACUGCACAGGAACACACAAGAGUUUUCUUUGUAUUCACAGUGGAAGAGCCCCCCUCCCCACGGAGUUGGGUGGAGUGGCCAGAAGACCUUCUCCAUCCCUGCCCUUUGCUGCUUUGUUUCCAGAAAGGAGGGGGAGGAAAUUACCAGGGUAUGAGAUGCUGCCUCUUGGGAACAAGGAAAUUAAUGCAGCGACCUGAAUUAUGUGCGUGACACAUUUGCAUAUCGCUCACUAGCAGUUUCUGAAGAAACAACAAAUUUUGUGUAAUUCUAAUCUCUUUUGCAAAGCAAGGGAAGAGGAAAAGCUACCUCCGAUUUACUGUCUACAAAGAAAGCUGAAUUUUAGGAUCAAAUUUGCUCACAUUUAGUGGUAGGCUAAAUGUUAAAACAUAAGGGUGCAUCUUUUAAAUCACUCUUUGUGUGUGGCUGAGUGUAAAUGUCAGGCAUGUGUACAUGCAUGGGUGCAUGUGUGCAUGGGUACGUGUAUGCAUGCAUGCUUGUGUACGUGUGUGCUUGUGUGCGUGUGUGUGUGUGUGUGUGUGUGUGUGUGUGUGUGUGUGUGUGUGCACAUGUAUGCAUGUGGAGGACAGAGUUCAAUGACAGGUCUCAUUCUCUAUCAUUAUCAAUGAUAAUUUAUAGCUUGAAUAUCUUGUAUCAUUAUACCUAUGUCUCCCAGAUCAUUAUAUUCAUUUGGGAGGGUAUCUAGUAUAAUUUACUAUUAUUAUGGUAAUCAUGGAAUUUGGGGGAUGGAAUGACUGAUUCAUUGUCAGUUUAUAACCAGGCUGAUGUAGAAAACUCAAAUGAAGACCAAUUAUCAAUGUCUUUGUAGUCAAUAAAAUUAAUAUCUGGAGAAGUGAGUCCCUCUAAGGAAAAUCUUCUAGUCAGAGAAGGCAUAGGAAGGGAGAAUGCUUAAAGUUUGUAUCAACUUCUCUUUGUGAGGUUUAAGCAAUUCUCAUGUUGCAAUCGGCCAGUAUCACUGUAAUCCUCGAGAUUUCUAGAAGAGCAAAUUGGUGAAGCUUGCAAGCCUUUUCUGAAAUAAGGAAAAUUGGCAUAGUUUAGAAAAAAAAAAUGUUGGGAGAUUUCUUAACAAUUGCUUUUUGCUGAACAAAAGGCUGGUACUUUCCUUGAUCAAGUUGCAGAAAUGCUGUCUGCUCUGUGAGUUUUGUAGAGAGAAAAAUUACACAUUUUAUAAACCUGGCUUGGCUGCUUUUCUGUUUUGAUUUUGACUUCUGAUUCUGCUCUGAUUCGACUUAGCUACCAAAGUUGACAGAUUAUUGACCCACAGUCACAGCUUAUACCUUCUGUCUCUCCCUCCGUCCCUAGAAGUCUCUGUCUCUUCACUCCUCCUAUCACAGUGUUAAUGGUGAUAUCCAGAUGACUUUGACCCAAGCAGAGGCACACAGGGUAGAGCUGACAUCAUUAACCAUUCACUUCCUUCCCCUUCAUUUGAGUUUUCUUAUCAGAUAAAGGUUGCUAGUGUUGAAGUCAUAGUUUCCAAAGAAACAAGGCUUGGGGAUGCUCCAGGUACUACAUUCAGAGCUGGGGGGGCUAGAUUUGGAACAUGCCAAGUAUUUUGAGGCCAGAAGCACACAUCUUUUCUCUUCGUGAAGAUGCUGUGCUCAGCAAGAAUAAUGACAACACACAAGCCAUGGACUCAGUAGCACUGAAGUGUGGUUCGAAGUGGGCUUCAUGUAUUAUUUAAUUGUUAGUCUGACCUUCAGACUAGAACCCUGGAGCUAUAACAAGGAUAAUGUAUUUAAGUAACCCAGCUGGUAAGUGGUAAAGCAUGGACUGACCACAGAUUCCUAUCUCUCGGGACCAGAAGUUUAAUCAGAGAGGUAAAUCGAAUCAACCAAAGAAAAUUACGCUUUAAGUUAAAUUAAGCAUUCUAAAAUUAUCUAGUAAUCUCAUCUCUGCUUCUCGACACAUGUCAGAUUUGUAUUGGUACUCUCAAAAUUAAUUUACCAUAUGUUUGUGUCUCUUGUGCUAGACUUUGGAGCAACUGUUAGAGAUCAAUAAACAAGCUCUGACACAUUUCAUACUCUCAUGAAGUUCUGCCUUGGAGAAUCUCCCUAGUUUGAGUUUCUCAGGUUAAAAUUCUUUUCAAGAAUUAAUUAAAUUACUUCACUGAGUUUUAGUUCCUGUCUCUCUGCUUGCAGAUUCAUAUGGGGACCCAUUUCAUCAUUAUAUUGAUUUAGAUUCUUGCCAUUCAAAACGCUUGGCAUCCAUUGUCAGCCAUACUACAGAAACAGAGAUGCACCCUUGUAUAGUGUGCAGCGCACAUUCCCUCAAAAUAUUUACUAUGUAGUUCUCUAUACGUUAGGAAAUCUAUUCAUUCAACACAGAUGUUGAGCCUCAUUUAAUUUACUUUCUCCACUUUACUGUAUUUUUCCCAGUAUAUCUUUGCCCCGUGGUUUUUAUGUUAGAAGAAGGGCCAACAGAAAGAUAGCAGUGAGUUGGGUAACAAGUGUUUCUUUUUGCAAAGUAAAAGACGCCGUUGCUGGGAAAGCAGUAAGCGUGAACAGGGAGGACUGUCUAAAUGACUGACGCAGUUGGUGAUGACGUCAGCACUGGGCACUGACUUAACAGAACUCCACUGGGACUUGUCUAUCUUCUGUUUGUCCAGUUUGCAGCUAAUCCCUAGCAAUGUCCUCAGACCACAGGAGAAGGGCUAAAUUGCUGAUUAAAAUUCCUUAAGAAACAAAAUAACUUCAACUGUAUCUUCCUUGAUUUUGGUUUUUAGUUCCUAGACACUGUAAAAUGACACACACAGGUGCUGCUUACCUGCUGCUGUGGCAUCAAUAUUGAUAAAGAAAUGUACUGCAAAGUGUUUCAUCCAUACCCAGAGCAGGUGCUAGAGCAAUUCAUUGUAUAUCAUAUAAGAUUAGAGUCUUAAUCCUUUUUUUUUUCAGAUAUACGUGCAUACACACACAGAUACAGACACACACAGAGAAAGACACACAGACAGAGUGGCGCGCACACACAAACAAAUGCUGUGCUAUUUGUAUGUAUAACCAACCUGGGUAGUAUCUGUGUACUGUGAACCCUCUGUGGUUGUGGUUUAGCCAUCAGAGACGAGCCAUCAGAGCCCAGCCUGAUGUUAGAGCCCAGCUCCUGUAUUUCUCGGCUGAGCAGUUCUUUUUCCAGCU
rnacentral:lncRNA from 1 species